AACUCUGCUAGGUAUUGACCACAGAGCAUGCAUGGUGCUCUGCAAAUUGUUUUCAUCAGUUCAUUUGAGGAACGUGCCCGGUAACUGCUGGCGACUCUCCUCUCAGGAAGCUGCCUUGCGGUGGGUCGUGGAGGGGGGCGGCAAACAAUAAAUACGUAGGUGUCAUGGAGGAAACUGAAAGAGGAUAAAGUUAGAAUGGGGAACGGGUUGACUAAGACCCCUCAGAAAAUAGGAAGAAGCCGAACUAUCUGCCAGGAAGAGCGUUCCCAGCAAGGGAAACAGCUAGGGUGGGAGUAAGCUUGGCGCGUUUGGGCACCGAAAGGCCUGUGGACCUGGAGCUCAGAGGGCCGAGAGGUGGGUAGGAGACACAUCAUUAGCUCUGUAAAUCAAGUAAGCGCUUUAGACGCUAUUCUCACACAGUGGGAAACUAUGAGGGCAUUUAAAAUUUGAGCCCGAAUGGAAGAUCAUUCUGGUUCCUUUGAGGAGAACAAAUUUUUCAGGGGGCGGUGGUAGAGACAGGAAGAACGUUAGGAGUCUCUUCUUUGUUAUAAAGAUGGCCAGUUACUGAAUGCUUUGUCUUUGCCAGGAACUAUGCUAGGUGCUUUACAUGCAUUUUCUCAUUUAAUCCUUAAAAGUACUUUUUGAAGCAGGUGCAGUAAUUUUCCCCGUUUUACAGGAGCAGGGGAAUUGAGCCUUAGGGAGACAGGAGGGGGUCAAAGAAAGGGGGCAGGCAGUUCAUCGUUGAAAUAAUCUGAAUCUUGAAUCCUGAAUUUUUUUUUGAAAUACCCAAAUUAUCACUUUUACUUAAUAUUUGGAUUAUUUAAAUAAUUGGAGAUCUGUUUCCCCCCUUUUUUCCUUAUCUCUCCAUUCACAGUAUUAUCAGUAUAAAAUUGGAAGUGACCUUGGAGAUAAUGAGUCCUACUCCUUUGCUGCACUAAUGGUUUAAGACAAGGAUCAGCAAACUAUGGCUCCUGGGCCAAAGCUGGCUUGCAGGCUAAAGAUUGUUACAUUCUUUUAAAAGAUUUUAAAAAAUGCAAAGAAUAUUUUGUAAUGUGAAAAUUGUGUAAAAGUUAAAGUUCAUUAUCCACAAAGAAAGUUUUAUGGGCACCCAGCCACCACUCAUUCUUACCUGGCUGUUCUGGAAUUACUGUGGCUGAGUUGAGCAGUUGACCCAUGUUGUUACCUGAAAACUAGGUUCACCUCUCGGUGGAUGUCAAGCCAGAAGACACAAGCAAGCCAAAGAUUAGGAGAAGGAAGGAUUUAUUACUUGCAGCAAGUAAGGAGAACCCCGGGGAUCUUCCCCAAAGCAGGGUCACGCGGAACAGCAAAACUGCGGGAGCUUUAAGCUAAGGGUACAAGCAUAUUCAUGAAGGGGCUUGAGCAGAGGAGAAUUCAGCAUAGAAUUGGGGCCAGGGUCGACAGAGUCCUAGCGUUAGUUGAUUGAAGUCACAGGGGUCAACAUAGUCAUUUCCAUCCUCCACCUGAGGAUGGAGAAACUUAAAGACGGUAUCAGAUUGUUAUAUAUUUCCCUUGAGGAGGAACUAGGACUCUGUUUUACCACUAGACUAUUGUUUCUUGACUGCUUUUCCUUUGUUCCUGCAUUCCCUUACUUCCCUUAAGAUCAUUAAUUACUGAGACCUGUUCAAGAGCAGGCACUGUGGCCAAGCUUAGAGCACAAAAUGGCUUAGGCCAAAAAUGGCUUCUCAUGUGGAGAAAGACAUGCUAGUUCUCUUUCUCCAGGGACCCACUACCCUCUCUGCUUACAAUAUGGCCUGCAAACCAUAAAGUAUUUACUAUCUGAUCCCUUACAGAAAGAGUGUGUUGACCCCUGGAUUAAGAGAUUGUGAUUUUUACUAGGGCUACCAGCGAAACUAGGAGUAGAACCCACAUGUCUAAAUCUAGUGCUUUUUAUGCUAUUUCACACUAAGAAUCUUAGUAUAAUGUUUGAUUUCAGUGUUUUCUUUAUCAUGAACUUAAUUUCUAAAUGUGUAAUGUAUACAAAUGUUGUAAAAUCCAAAAGGGACUAUAGUUUCUGUGUAUCCUUCUAGAGCUAGUCUAUGCAGAUAAGUAUGAACUUGUAUUUUUUUCAUUAUAAAUCUUACCACAUCAUAUAUAUUGUUCUGCAUUCCCCCACCCACCUCCUUCACCCCCCCAACACACACACACACACACACACACACACACACACUUAAAAAUACAUCUUGGAAAUACUUUGUGUUGGUGGGAACAUUGGCUCUGGAGCUAGACCCCUGGACUUAAAUCCUACCUAGCUUCAUUACUUACCAUUCAUUAGUUGUAACCGUGCUAAGUUACUUAACCUUUCUGUGUCAGUUUCUGCAGCCCAAAAAAGAAAAUAAAGAAAGAAAGAAAGAAUAAUGGGAUUAGUUUGAGACAUGAGCUAUACCUGUAAACAAUUAGGACUCCCUGGCACAGUAAGUGUUCAGUAAAUGUUAGCAACAGCAGCAUCAUAAAUUGCUACUUUGUUCUUAAUUAUGUAAAAUAACUGUUUGAAGUAACUGUGUAAAAUACCAUAGCCUUACAUUUAGGUCUUUAAUCCAUUUAGAGUUUCUUUUUGUGUACUGUGUUAGGAAGUGUUCUAAUUUCAUUCUUUUACAUGUAGCUGUCCAGUUUUCCCAGCACCAUGUAUUGAAGAGGCUGUCUUUUCUCCAUUGUAUAUUCUUGCCUCCUUUAUCAAAGAUAAGGUGACCAUAUGUGCGUGAACACUCUAUGACAUAAAUCACAGUAAGAUCCUUUUUGACCCAUCUCCUAGGGAAAUGGAAAUAAAAACAAAAUGGGACCUAAUGAAACUUAAAAGCUUUUGCACAGCAAAGGAAACCAUAAACAAGAAAAAAAGACAGCCCUCAGAAUGGGAGAAAAUAUUUGCAAACGAAGCAACUGACAAAGGAUUAAUCUCCAAAAUGUACAAGCAGCUCAUGCAGCUCAAUAUCAAAAAAAACAAGCCAAUCCAAAAAUGGGCAGGAGACCUAAACAGACAUUUCUCCAAAGAAGAUAUACAGAUAUACAGAUUGCCAACAAACACAUGAAAGGAUGCUCAACAUCACUAAUCAUUAGAGAAAUGCAAAUCAAAACUACAAUGAGCUAUCACCUCACACGGAUGGCCAGAAUGGCCAUCAUCAAAAAAUCUACAAACGAUAGAUGCUGGAGAGGGUGUGGAGGAAAGGGAACCCUCUUGCACUGUUGGUGGGAAUGUAAACUGAUACAGCCACUAUGGAGAACAGUAUGGAGGUUCCUUAAAAAACUAAAAAUAGAACUACCAUAUGACCCAGCAUUCCCACUACUGGGCAUAUACCUGAGAAAACCAUAAUUCAAAGAGUCAUGUACCACAGUGUUCAUUGCAGCACUAUUUACAAUACCCAGGACAUGGAAGCAACCUAAGUGUCCAUCAACAGAUGAAUGGAUAAAGAAGAUGUGGCACAUAUAUAUACAAUGGAAUAUUACUCAGCCAUAAAAAGAAACGAAAUUGAGUUAUUUGUAGUGAGGUGGAUGGACCUAGAGUCUGUCAUAGAGAGUGAAGUAAGUCAGAAAGAGAAAAACAAAUACCAUAUGCUAACACAUAUAUAUGGAAUCUAAAAAAAGAAGGUUCUGAUGAACCUAGGGGCAGGACAGGAAUAAAGACGCAGACAUAGAGAAUGGACUUGAGGACAUGGGGAGGGGGAAGGGUAAGCUGGGACGAAGUGAGAGAGUAGUAUUGACAUAUACACUACCAAAUGUGAAAUAGAUAGCUAGUGGGAAGCAGCUGCAUAGCACAGGGAGAUCAGCUCAGUGCUUUGUGACCACAUAGAGGGGUGGGAUAGGGAGGGUGGGAGGGAGAUACGUAUAGCUCAUUUGCUUUGUUAUACAGCAGAAACUAACACAACAUUACAAAGCAAUUAUACUCCAAUAAAGAUUUUAAAAAUAAAAUACCGUUGCAUGGCUGUUUUAAUUAACUGACUGCCUAUUGAUGAUUAUCUUUUAUGAUUUCAAACAGUGUUGAAAUGAAUUGUCUUGUCCAUGCAAUUUAGCAGUGAGAUUGGGCAUAUUUUCAUGGGUUUAAGAGUCAUUAAUAUUUUUCUUUUCUGUGAACAGUCUGUCCAUCCUCUGCCUAUUAAGUUACUGGUCAUUUCCUUAUUGAUUAUAGGAGGCUUUUUACAUAUUAUGGAAAUCAGCACAAUAUAUGAUUUAAAAGUAUUUUUUGUUUCAUUGCUUGCCUUUUGACUUUACUGUUUUGUUUUUUUGUUUUUCUUAGCAUGCAGAAAACUUUGUUAAUUUUUUUUUAAACAAAAGCCAUAUGAUGUAGUUUGAGGUCAUGUUAAAUAGCUUGAUAUAGUUAAAUAGGUUUAUCUUACUUUGACAUUACUUAAAACUUCUCCCAUGUUGUCUUCUAGUACACUUAUGAUUUCUGUUUUUAUAUUUAAAUCGUUAGCUAGAAAAUAAAAGCAUAUAGUAAGGGGACUUCUCUGGGGGUCCAGUGGUUAAGACUCCACACUCCCAAUGCAGAGGGCACGGGUUCGAUCCCUGGUCAGGGAACUAAGAUCCCACAUGCCACAUGGCGUGGCCAAAAAAUAAAUAAAAUAUUUCCUUCCUUUAAAAAAAAAAAAA